AUAACGCGUGGGAACGUACCCUUUGCUACGGAAUAGCCUCGGGAAACUGGGAGUAAUACCGUAUGUGCCCUACGGGGGAAAGAUUUAUCGGCAAAGGAUCGGCCCGCGUUGGAUUAGGUAGUUGGUGAGGUAACGGCUCACCAAGCCGACGAUCCAUAGCUGGUUUGAGAGGAUGAUCAGCCACACUGGGACUGAGACACGGCCCAGACUCCUACGGGAGGCAGCAGUGGGGAAUCUUAGACAAUGGGGGAAACCCUGAUCUAGCCAUGCCGCGUGAGCGAUGAAGGCCUUAGGGUUGUAAAGCUCUUUCAGCUGGGAAGAUAAUGACGGUACCAGCAGAAGAAGCCCCGGCUAACUCCGUGCCAGCAGCCGCGGUAAUACGUAGGGUGCGAGCGUUAAUCGGAAUUACUGGGCGUAAAGCGUGCGCAGGCGGUUUAGUAAGACAGGCGUGAAAUCCCCGGGCUCAACCUGGGAACUGCGCUUGUGACUGCUAAGCUAGAGUACGGCAGAGGGGGGUGGAAUUCCACGUGUAGCAGUGAAAUGC
rnacentral:rRNA from 1 species